GUUUUCAUUUAGAUGUCAGUUACCAUAGACAUAGUUUAUUUCUUGUAAUCUAAUCUAGCAUUGCUAAUGGUCAAGUAGUAAUAACAUGUCACACUCAGUGCACAGGUGUCUGAAGGGACACCUGUGCGAAACUAAGGCUUUCAUGAAGUUUGGCCUGAAAAAACUGAAAACAGGUUUGAUAAGUAUAGACGUCGGUAAUGGAUUCCAGUGUGAGUUAAAAACUUAGAUUAACUCCUACUUUACUACUAAACUACAGUAACACAGUACUCUGCUUACACUUUAAC